rnacentral:rRNA from 1 species
UACGUAGGGUGCGAGCGUUAAUCGGAAUUACUGGGCGUAAAGCGUGCGCAGGCGGUUUUGUAAGCCAGAUGUGAAAUCCCCGGGCUUAACCUGGGAAUGGCAUUUGGGACUGCAAGGCUUGAGUGCGGCAGAGGAGACUGGAAUUCCUGGUGUAGCAGUGAAAUGCGUAGAUAUCAGGAGGAAUACCGAUGGCGAAGGCAGGUCUCUGGGCUGACACUGACGCUCAUGCACGAAAGCGUGGGGACAAACAGGAUUAGAAACCCGUAG